CGUACACUCUAAACACGGUAACGUUUCUAAAUGUGCACAUUGUAAAAUUUGAAAGUAAAAGGCAUACUCUUACUUUUAGAUAAUUAAACGUAACAGUGGUGUGGCCGAUUUUUUGUGUGUUUACUAUAGGUAACACCAAUGGAAUUUAAAGUAACCGGAAACGCUUACGUGAAACAGAGGUUCUGCGUGCAAUUUCACGAUAAUGCCAUAUAAUGCGGUUACUGCUAAUGCCGCGCUGCGCGUUCUGUUACGUCUACGUGAUAGCGCGUUAACUGCGGUGUACCUCGUAGAGCGUCCUGAAUGCUUGGAACGGAGCCGCAAUCGUGCAGCGUCAUCUAUCUGUCUCGCUCUUAUCUUUCGCUCGAAGUGCACGCCGGGAAGACUUGCCUAGUGGAAAGCCACCGGUUUCCGAAGUGCGCGAGUCACCGUGGAUGAAUACUUUUUUUGUGGCACUGUGCUUUCCGCUCUCUUUCGCAGCUUUUACUGCGCAGUAGUAUUUUUUUUUUGCCCGUGCGGCCAUGGCGUAAAGCAACGGAGCGUAAUUCGCGUAAUCCGAAGCCACUGUAAUUAGCCAUAGUGUGAGUGCGUCCAGUACACAAUCAACGGCCUGUCAGACGACUCGGAACCGAAGAUGAAGUGCGAGUUGUGCAACCAUUGUCCAGGCGCUCACGGCCAGCGAUUCGAACUCGGCGGCAGUUCUUCAGCAUCUGCAGCGGAAACAGACGUACUGCAACCUGGCCGUGCACAGAGGUCUUCGACGUGUGGGGCUGGCCGAAGACAGCCGAUGGGUUUCAAGAAUAAAGCUUUUCGUAGCAUUGGAAACGUUCCGGUGUCUGUACC